AUUGAACGCUGGCGGCAGGCCUAACACAUGCAAGUCGAGCGGCAGCGGGAAAGUAGCUUGCUACUUUUGCCGGCGAGCGGCGGACGGGUGAGUAAUGCCUGGGAAAUUGCCCAGUCGAGGGGGAUAACAGUUGGAAACGACUGCUAAUACCGCAUACGCCCUACGGGGGAAAGCAGGGGACCUUCGGGCCUUGCGCGAUUGGAUAUGCCCAGGUGGGAUUAGCUAGUUGGUGAGGUAAUGGCUCACCAAGGCGACGAUCCCUAGCUGGUCUGAGAGGAUGAUCAGCCACACUGGAACUGAGACACGGUCCAGACUCCUACGGGAGGCAGCAGUGGGGAAUAUUGCACAAUGGGGGAAACCCUGAUGCAGCCAUGCCGCGUGUGUGAAGAAGGCCUUCGGGUUGUAAAGCACUUUCAGCGAGGAGGAAAGGUCAGUAGCUAAUACCUGCUGACUGUGACGUUACUCGCAGAAGAAGCACCGGCUAACUCCGUGCCAGCAGCCGUGGUAAAAC
rnacentral:rRNA from 1 species